AGAUUGAACGCUGGCGGCAUGCUUUACACAUGCAAGUCGAACGGUAACAGGCCGCAAGGUGCUGACGAGUGGCGAACGGGUGAGUAAUGCAUCGGAACGUGCCCAGUCGUGGGGGAUAACGCAGCGAAAGCUGUGCUAAUACCGCAUACGAUCUAUGGAUGGAAAGGCGGGGGACCGAAAGGCCUCGCGCGAUUGGGAGCGGCCGUAUGUCAGUAGUAGCUAGGUUGGUAGGGGUAAAGCCCACCGAAGGCGACGAUCGUGUAGCUGGUCUGAGAGGACGACC
rnacentral:rRNA from 1 species